GUAUUAAUAAUGCGACAUUUUGAUUUUUAAUAUUAAUCAAACAUUGGGCAAGUAGCAACUUAGACUUAAAGCUAAAAAGCACAACAACAAAAAACAAUACCUACCCAGUAUAGUCCCACAAAGCGGGGUCUGAGGAGGGUAAUAUGUAGACGAGCCUUAUCCCACCCGAAAGGGCAGAGAGGCUGUUUCCAAUCGACCCUCGGCUCAGUGAAAGAAAGGAAAAAUAAAAACAAAAACAAAAGAGCAUUAGUAACUCCAGCAGCAAUAGCGUAAAUAAUUAUCUAAACAUAAGAGACAAAUAAAAUAGCAUGCAAUAAUAUCAUACAUUAACUAUCUAAGGGAGACACAAGCCAAAACACAAAUCAUCUAUGGAUAGCCCUGCCAAGCCUCACCCAACC
rnacentral:lncRNA from 1 species